rnacentral:rRNA from 1 species
CAUGCCGCGUGAGUGAUGAAGGCCUUAGGGUUGUAAAGCUCUUUUACCGGGGACGAUGAUGACGGUACCCGGAGAAUAAGCCCCGGCUAACUUCGUGCCAGCAGCCGCGGUAAUACGAAGGGGGCGAGCGUUGUUCGGAGUUACUGGGCGUAAAGGGCGCGUAGGCGGCGUCCCAAGUUAGGCGUGAAAGCCCCGGGCUCAACCUGGGAAUUGCGCUUAAGACUGGGAUGCUCGAGUGCGGAAGAGGUGAGUGGAAUUCCCAGUGUAGAGGUGAAAUUCGUAGAUAUUGGGAAGAACACCAGUGGCGAAGGCGGCUCACUGGUCCGCAACUGACGCUGAGGCGCGAAAGCGUGGGGAGCAAACAGGAUUAGAUACCCUGGUAGUCCACGCCGUAAACGAUGAGUGCUAGACGUUGGGAAACUCAGUUUCUUGGUGUCGCAGCUAACGCAUGAAGCACUCCGCCUGGGGAGUACGGCCGCAAGGUUAAGACUCAAAGGAAUUGACGGGGGCCCGCACAAGCGGUGGAGCAUGUGGUUUAAUUCGACGCAACGCGCAGAACCUUACCAGCUCUUGACAUGGGGAGUAUGGGAUCGAGCGAUUGAUCCCUUCAGUUCGGCUGGCUCCCACACAGGUGCUGCAUGGCUGUCGUCAGCUCGUGUCCUGAGACGGUGGGGUAAGUCCCGCAA